rnacentral:rRNA from 1 species
AGAGUUUGAUCCUGGCUCAGGAUGAACGCUAGCGACAGGCUUAACACAUGCAAGUCGAGGGGCAGCGGGGAGGCAGCAAUGCCUCCGCCGGCGACCGGCGCACGGGUGAGUAACACGUAUGAAACCUGCCCGGAGCAGGGGGAUAAGCGGAAGAAAUUCCGUCUAAUACCGCGUAACGAGGCGGGGAGGCAUCUCCCCGCUUCCAAAGAUUUAUCGGCUCCGGAUGGUCAUGCGGCGCAUUAGCUAGUUGGCGGGGUAACGGCCCACCAAGGCGACGAUGCGUAGGGGUUCUGAGAGGAAGGCCCCCCACACUGGUACUGAGACACGGACCAGACUCCUACGGGAGGCAGCAGUGAGGAAUAUUGGUCAAUGGACGCAAGUCUGAACCAGCCAUGCCGCGUGCAGGAUGACGGCUCUAUGAGUUGUAAACUGCUUUUGUACGAGGGUAAACGCAGAUACGUGUAUCUGUCUGAAAGUAUCGUACGAAUAAGGAUCGGCUAACUCCGUGCCAGCAGCCGCGGUAAUACGGAGGAUUCAAGCGUUAUCCGGAUUUAUUGGGUUUAAAGGGUGCGUAGGCGGUUUGAUAAGUUAGAGGUGAAAUUUCGGGGCUCAACCCUGAACGUGCCUCUAAUACUGUUGAGCUAGAGAGUAGUUGCGGUAGGCGGAAUGUAUGGUGUAGCGGUGAAAUGCUUAGAGAUCAUACAGAACACCGAUUGCGAAGGCAGCUUACCAAACUAUAUCUGACGUUGAGGCACGAAAGCGUGGGGAGCAAACAGGAUUAGAUACCCUGGUAGUCCACGCAGUAAACGAUGAUAACUCGUUGUCGGCGAUACACAGUCGGUGACUAAGCGAAAGCGAUAAGUUAUCCACCUGGGGAGUACGUUCGCAAGAAUGAAACUCAAAGGAAUUGACGGGGGCCCGCACAAGCGGAGGAACAUGUG